rnacentral:rRNA from 1 species
UACAGAGGUCCCGAGCGUUUGUUCGGAUUCACUGGGCGUAAAGGGUGCGUAGGUGGUGAGGUAAGUCGGAUGUGAAAGCUCGGAGCUCAACUCCGAAAUGGCAUUGGAAACUACCUUGCUCGAGGGGUUUGGAGGGGGGACUGGAAUACUUGGUGUAGCAGUGAAAUGCGUAGAUAUCAAGUGGAACACCAGUGGCGAAGGCGAGUCCCUGGAAAACUCCUGACACUGAGGCACGAAAGCCAGGGGAGCAAACAGG